AGACCCGGUGCCACGUACCAUGGGUGCAAAGGGGAGCAGCAUAGUGCUGGGAGCUAAGUUCUGUUACAGGGAAGAGAAAGAAACAAUGGGAAUACCAAGGAGGAUAUUUACAGAGGGGGAAGGCUUUGAGCUGAAAUUGAACGGUGAAUAAAGGCUGAGCAGCCAUGUAGAGACGGGGUUCCACCGUGUUAGCCAGGAUGGUCUCGAUUUCCUGACCUCGUCAUCCUCCCGCCUUGGCCUCCCAAAGUGCUGGGAUUACAGGCUUGAGCCACCGCGCCCCGCUCUUUCGUGUUCCAAAGGCUUUUUAAAUAAACUUCCACUCCUGUCCUGGAUUCUGCUUUAUGGCCCUCAGUCGAAUUCUUUCUUCUGAGGAGGCAAGGACUGAAGUUGCUUCUGACCAGUACAGGUACGCCGCAGGAGAAAACGAAUACAGCAGGGAUGACUUCCACCAGCUCCACUUUGCAGCUCUGAGGUGUAUUAAAAAUGACCUGGAAGAAGUCAUGCCACGGGCCAGACCUUAACAUUCCUUUCGGCUUACCCCAGGAUUUCAGACAAAGCUUCACUUUCCUAACCAGUCACAAAUCAGAGAAUUUUUGAUUCCACCUAUGACCUGUGAGCUCCUGCUUCAAGAUAUUCCACCUUUUUUAGGCCAAACCAAUGUAUAACCUCCAAGUGUCGAUUUACACUUUCGACUGUAACUUCUGCUUUCCUGAGAUUUACCCCUGCCUUUAAAAACCCUUGCUUGUAAUCCCUCAGGGAGGCCGUGUAUUUAUUAAUCAUGAGCUGCCCAAUUCUCCUUGCUUGGUGCCCUGCAAAUAAACACCCUCUUUUCUCCCACUGCAAAACCUCAGUGUGGAUGUUUGGCUUUACUUCACCCCCAGGAAAGCAGACCCAGGUUUGACUCAGCAACAACAUCUGUUUCUAUUUUUCUCUGUAUAAAUAUUAAAAACCAUAAGUACAUGCUAUCUCCAAUUCCAAUAUAAACCCAUAGGGCUCAUUCUGGCCUUCCCAUUUUCUUAUGUGUAAUUCAUUUCUCUGAAAAUGAGAAUUCGAGUACUCAGAUAUUUACUUACCUACUCAAUCCUAGAAUAGAAAUAAAAUAAUUCAACAUAAUACCUUCUUAAGUUCCUGGACUUAGUUACACAAAAGUGAGGAAUUACACAUGAAUUCUAAAAUGUGAUUUUAAAAAUCUUUCCUUUUCCUUCUUAUCACCCUUAGUAGCUCUCUACAGUAAUAUAAAUUUUUACCCACCUAUUCUUACAAAGUCAUUUCAAGGCUGUCUUAUUUCUACCCAGGAUUCCACACUUAUUAGAGGCUCUUUAUAGGGGAAGACCUAGGAUUAGAAUCAAAACAGAACAUCUUUUCUUUCUCUGCUUUUACUUAGAAUAUCCAAAACAGACCCAAAGAGACUGUUACUUAAUCCAACUAUUUUCUUUCAAUAUAGUCAUCUUAUCUGUUUUUUAAUCUAGUUUGACUUUGAUAUUAACAGAAUAAGACACCAACAGAGCUCCCGACAUGCAAAGCAUAGACGUCUGUCCAAUUUUUGAAGAAGUUAAGACAUGAAAAUGGCAAAGGUUUUCUGGAGAUUUGUUGAGAUGACUGAGGUUGAGAACACUAUCCCCAUGUUAAAGAAAAGACAGAAUUGGAUGGAUGCAGCUUUCUUAGUAUUUCUGUGUACCUUAAUACCCUAACAUUGGUGGUUUGGGCCCUUCAAGACACAUUAUUGGACAACAUCACUGCGAUAUUGAGUACCAUCAGAGCAGCUGAGAUGCACUGAAAUGUUGCCGAUGUAAUUUUUGCUAUGCAGAAAGAAACUUACAGAUCUCUACUUUGUGCCUCUGCCUCCUUUAAGUAUAGGCUCCCGAUAAUAGGUCUAAGUUGAGACAGUUAACAUCCAGCGGGUUGCCGCAAGAAUUUCACCAAGACCCUAUGUUUAUUCAGUGCAGAAUUGCUCAUCUUCUUCAGGACUGGUUCUAGAUAAAAUAUGUAUGAGUGAGAAAAAUGGUUUAUAGAAUAUAUGAGCCUGACACCUCAUAAGCCCAAGAUAUUUGUACUAUAUUUCCAACAGUAAGUAUAAGUAAAAGCCAUCAUCAAUGUGAGUGGGUUGAAAUUGCUGCCAAAACAAGACUCUUAUGUUGUUUUCAAAG
rnacentral:lncRNA from 10 species